rnacentral:rRNA from 1 species
GACGAACGCUGGCGGCGUGCUUAACACAUGCAAGUCGAGCGGUAAGGCCCUUUCGGGGGUACACGAGCGGCGAACGGGUGAGUAACACGUGGGUGACCUGCCCUCAGCUCUGGGAUAAGCCCGGGAAACUGGGUCUAAUACCGGAUAUGACUCCAUGACGCAUGUUGUGGGGUGGAAAGCCUUGUGCGGCUGAGGAUGGGCCCGCGGCCUAUCAGCUCGUUGGUGGGGUGAUGGCCUACCAAGGCGACGACGGGUAGCCGGCCUGAGAGGGCGACCGGCCACACUGGGACUGAGACACGGCCCAGACUCCUACGGGAGGCAGCAGGUGGGGAAUCUUGCGCAAUGGGCGAAAGCCUGACGCAGCGACGCCGCGUGAGGGAUGACGGCCU